rnacentral:rRNA from 1 species
GGGAGGCAUCAGUGGGGAAUUUUGCGCAAUGGGCGAAAGCCUGACGCAGCAACGCCGCGUGAGUGAUGAAGGCCCUCGGGUCGUAAAGCUCUGUCGGGAGGGAAGAAAUGAUUUAGGGUUAAUACCCCUUGAUCUUGACGGUACCUCCGAAGGAAGCACCGGCUAACCCCGUGCCAGCAGCCGCGGUAAUAAG